UACGUAGGGUGCAAGCGUUGUCCGGAAUUAUUGGGCGUAAAGAGCUCGUAGGCGGUUUGUCGCGUCUGGUGUGAAAAUCCAGGGCUUAACCCUGGACCUGCAUCGGGUACGGGCAGACUAGAGUGCGGUAGGGGAGAUCGGAAUUCCUGGUGUAGCGGUGAAAUGCGCAGAAUAUCAGGAGGAACACCGGUGGCGAAGGCGGAUCUCUGGGCCGUAACUGACGCUGAGGAGCGAAAGCAU
rnacentral:rRNA from 1 species